CAUGACAAGGGCAGAAGGAGUUACUUUUAAAAGUGAACAGGAGGUGUGGUGAAACCAAAGUUGUUGUUUAUUCAUCGAUAGCCGACAGCAGGAAACGGAUCCUCAAGUGAUCCUCUGGCCCACCAAUCCACAGCUGAAACACAUCAGUAAGAACAAGAGUUCAACACACUGAUCAAACAUAGAAGUGGAAGAUGCUGGGCUUCAUACCUUCCUUCCCCUGCCCCUCUUCAGCUGCAGUUGUGUUAACAGCACAGUAGGAGACACCUGAGGAAACGCAGAGAAGAAACACAUCGACUACAGCCCCUCUAUAAAGCAUCUAGAAACAUCUAUAUAAGUCUAUAAACUAUCAAUAAAUUAGCUUAAAAGCACAAUAAUUGAUAUCAAAUAAAAAAUAAUGUCUGCUUUGUAAUUUUACACUCAGUACUUGGUGCAAUACUUUAGACAUCCCAUCUAUGAUGGAAUAGACUAAUCAAGUUUUUCAGAUAUAUACAUGAUGAUGUCUUUGUGUGAGAUUGUUUGUGUUACUUGUUCGUUGGUGAUGUGCCAGACUGGUUUGUUUUUCUGGGAACAGAGGAAUAAAUACAUGUAGAUUGAUUAGGGAAUGAAAACCAGGUGUGAGGGGAACAAGACAAAACAAAUGGAUACAUGAAAAAUGGAGCAUUGUCAUGUACCUACAGUAGCGGAGUCGAGGAGCGUGUCCAGGAGCACAUGGAUUUGAUUCAACAUCUCGUCAUCGCUAUGGACCUCAUAGUUCAGAUGAUGGAUCACUGGGAGAGACAAGGAGGUUCUCCAGUACCUCCUCCAGUACAACAGGAGUCCUCACUAACCGUCCCUCCUGUACCCGGUUCCAGUGGGAUGCGUCUCGCCCUUCCCGGAGAGUAUGAUGGAACGGUGGCAUGGUGCCAGGGCUUCCUGCUACAGCUGGAACUCUACCUGGGCACUGUCUAUCCAGCUCCUCCGGGAAGGGAGAGGGUGGCCGCCCUCGUCUCGUACCUCUCAGGGAGAGCUCUGGAGUGGGCCAACGCCGUAUGAUGAUCGAUAAACUCACACA